rnacentral:piRNA from 1 species
UAUUGCCCACUUCACAGGGAAGAAGCAGAA